rnacentral:rRNA from 1 species
AUUGAACGCUGGCGGCAGGCCUAACACAUGCAAGUCGAACGAGUGGCGGACGGGUGAGUAAUGUCUGGGAAACUGCCUGAUGGAGGGGGAUAACUACUGGAAACGGUAGCUAAUACCGCAUACCAUCAGAUGUGCCCAGAUGGGAUUAGCGUGUUGGUGGGGUAACGGCUCACCAAGGCGACGAUCCCUAGCUGGUCUGAGAGGAUGACCAGCCAAGUUGGAACUGGGACACGGUCCAGAGUCCUACGGGAGGCAGCAGUGGGGAAUAUUGCACAAUGGGCGAAAGCCUGAUGAAGGCAGGCCGCGUGUAUGAAGAAGGCCGUCGGGUUGUAAAGGACUUUCAGCGGGGAGGCGUUACCCGCAGAAGAAGCACCGGCUAACUCCGUGCCAGCAGCCGCGGUAAUGC